rnacentral:rRNA from 1 species
UACGUAGGGUGCGAGCGUUGUCCGGAAUUACUGGGCGUAAAGAGCUCGUAGGUGGUUUGUUAAGUCAGGGGUGAAAUCCUGGAGCUCAACUCCAGAACUGCCUUUGAUACUGGCAACCUAGAGACUGGAAGAGGUUAGUGGAAUUCCCAGUGUAGUGGUGGAAUGCGUAGAGAUCCGGAGGAACACCAGCGGCGAAGGCGGCGUCCUGGACUGGUACUGACGCUCAGGAGCGAAAGCGUGGGGAGCGAUCCGG